GGGAAAAGCUCAAAUUUAAAAUCUGGCGGUCUCUGGCCGUCCGAGUUGUAAUUUAGAGAAGCGUUAUCCGCGCUGGACCGAGUACAAGUCUCUUGGAAUAGAGCGUCAUAGAGGGUGAGAAUCCCGUCUUUGACUCGGACUGCCAGGGCAUAGUGAUGCGCUCUCGAAGAGUCGAGUUGUUUGGGAAUGCAGCUCAAAAUGGGUGGUAAAUUCCAUCUAAAGCUAAAUAUUGGGGAGAGACCGAUAGCGAACAAGUACCGUGAGGGAAAGAUGAAAAGAACUUUGGAAAGAGAGUUAAACAGUACGUGAAAUUGCUCAAAGGGAAACGCUUGAAGUCAGUCGCGUUGUUCAGGACUCAGCUAUGCUUUUGUGUAGUGUACUUCCUGUUCAAUGGGUCAACAUCAAUUUUGGUCAGUGGACAAAGGCGUAGGGAAUGUGGCUCUUUCGGGAGUGUUAUAGCCCUGCGUUGUAUACAUUGACUGGGAUUGAGGAACUCAGCACGCCGCAAGGCCGGGAUUUAUCCACGUACGUGCUUAGGAUGUUGGCGUAAUGGCUUUAAUCGACCCGUCUUGAAACACGGACCAAGGAGUCUAACAUGCAUGCGAGUGUUUGAGUGCAAAACUCGAGCGCGUAAUGAAAGUGAAAGUUGAGAUCCCUGUCGUGGGGAGCAUCGACGCCCGGAGCAGACCUUCUGUGACGCAUCCGCGGUAGAGCAUGUAUGUUGGGACCCGAAAGAUGGUGAACUAUGCCUGAAUAGGGUGAAGCCAGAGGAAACUCUGGUGGA
rnacentral:rRNA from 1 species